CGCUGGCGGCGUGCCUAAUACAUGCAAGUCGAACGGCUUUUCUAUGGAAGCUUGCUUCCACGUGAGAAGAUAGUGGCGAACGGGUGAGUAACACGUGGGUAACCUGCCCAUAAGAGGGGGGAUAACAUCCGGAAACGGGUGCUAAUACCGCAUAGUUUUCUUGAUCGCAUGAUCGGGAAAGGAAAGACGGCCUUUGUGCUGUCGCUUAUGGAUGGACCCGCGGCGUAUUAGUUAGUUGGUGAGGUAACGGCUCACCAAGACGAUGAUACGUAGCCGACCUGAGAGGGUGAUCGGCCACAUUGGGACUGAGACACGGCCCAAACUCCUACGGGAGGCAGCAGUAGGGAAUCUUCCGCAAUGGACGAAAGUCUGACGGAGCAACGCCGCGUGAGUGAAGAAGGUUUUUCCGGAUCGUAAAACUCUGUUGUCAGAGAAGAACAAGUUGGAGAGUAACUGCUCCAGCCUUGACGGUAUCUGACCAGAAAGCCACGGCUAACUACGUGCCAGCAGCCGC
rnacentral:rRNA from 1 species